AAUAUGUGUACUGCGCAUGCCAUAAGUGUAUAAUCUAUGGCGCAUGCGUCAACUUUAUUGCCUAAACUUUCUACGCGAUUUUAAUCGUGAAAAAAAAACAAUUAUAAAUCGUGAAGGAUCAAUUAAUUGGUAUACAGUUUAAUUAAAAAAAUUAAAAAAUAAAUAAAUGAAAUAAUGUGCAAUCCAAACUGUUUACCAUCCACAUUUGAUUAUCGGGCAGAUAGAAAACGAAAAUUCACUCAUAGUGAACCUCGGCCUGCAUUUGUGAAACGGCAAAGACUCACUAUUAUCAAGGAAAUUGAAGAGACUACUAAAAAUGAGAUGUGUCGUAUUAUUAUACCUUUGCCAUCUUGUAGUCAAGAUAUCCAGCCACUUGAAAAUAGGUGUAGUAAUGACAAAACUAUCCAAGUAGCUCCAGCACAGGAACACAAAGGCAAGGCAAGUGUGUAUUGCCACAUCACCCCUUAAUAUAUCUGAAGCAAGUAUAAGUAAACAAUCAGAACCAGCAAAAAAAAAACUGUUGUUCCCGAGGACAAAUUUGACAGUGAUGAGUCAAAUGCACCAGCAACAGAAGGAUCAACUGUUGACUAUGAGUUAUAGAAGAAGAUUAAUUCAUAUAUAUUUAAAUUAAUAUUAAUGAAUAUUAAUUUAAAUUAUCGUGCAAAAUUCGUGGUCAAAACAUGUGUAUUUUAUAAAUAAAUAUUCAUUCUCAGUA